rnacentral:rRNA from 1 species
GUGGGGAAUAUUGGACAAUGGGGGGAACCCUGAUCCAGCCAUGCCGCGUGUGUGAAGAAGGCCUUUUGGUUGUAAAGCACUUUAAGCGAGGAGGAGGCUACCGAGAUUAAUACUCUUGUAUAGUGGACGUUACUCGCAGAAUAAGCACCGGCUAACUCUGUGCCAGCAGCCGCGGUAAUACAGAGGGUGCAAGCGUUAAUCGGAUUUACUGGGCGUAAAGCGCGCGUAGGUGGCCAAUUAAGUCAAAUGUGAAAUCCCCGAGCUUAACUUGGGAAUUGCAUUGGAGACUGGUUGGCUAGAGUAUGGGAGAGGAUGGUAGAAUUCCAGGUGUAGCGGUGAAAUGCGUAGAGAUCUGGAGGAAUACCGAUGGCGAAGGCAGCCAUCUGGCCUAAUACUGACACUGAGGUGCGAAAGCAUGGGGAGCAAACAGGAUUAGAUACCCCUGUAGUCC